CAACCUACAAAGAAAUCUGGAAAGAUUUUAUUCAGAGUUCCUAAUUAUCUUGCAACAGUACUGGUUGUUAGAACACAGGGACAAUGCUGAUGUAGGCAGCAUUAGAUGGUUUCUGUUUCUCAAAAUUUAGCGCAUCUACAGAAACAUGAGUCUAAGUGACCACAGAAUGUAUGGGUCUCAACUAUGACUGAUCUACAGCAGUAAUUACAAGGAAGUUUACAUUCCUUAUUAUUUUUGACCCUGUUCGAUUCUCUCUUUUCUACUCUUUUUAGAAAUGUCAUUUUAAAAUUAUGUUUCUCAGUGAAAGCACUGAUCUUGUACUGUGUCCACCUACCUUGAUUAUUGCCUGCAGCGCACCAGUUUUUAUUUCUAAUGAGUAUUUAAAUCACAUUCCUGUUUGCUCUACUAUCAACCACUUUCUCUGGCUGUAAGCACAGUGAAACUUCUGGUCCUCACAGGGAGUAACCACAAACCUGUCAGGGUUAAUGGUCUUAUGGGGUGCUGGUUUUACUCCACGCUCUCCAAAAAGCAGGAGGAGAGUCCUGCAGCCUGACCUCCAUCGCUGUGCUGCUUGCCAGGGAGUGGGAGGGUAGGAGGAGGAAUGGCUAAGGGAGCCAGGCACGCUUCUUUGUUUUCAGUAAACAUUGCCUGGAAAAUGGGCCUGCAUUAUAGCACAGAUUACAGACCAAGAUAGAUAGCAGUUGGCUGUGUUAGAGAAGCUCUCAGAGGGGAACGACAGAGUUGGCCUUGUGAAGAAUGUGCCAGAGAAUCAGGCAGCAGUUGGUGCACACUGGUCUUGGUGUGGAAGCUAAAGAGUGUAGCAAGGAUAGACAAUUAAAUUAAUUACAUCCUCUGCUACCACCUCAGCUGUGCUUAUUGCUUUUCUGCACAGCUGAUAAUGCAUCUGAGCCUCAGUCUUUGUAGUUUCAGCUACCUCGCUAAAAAUGAUUUUUGGGGGCAUACACGCUAUUGUAACUGCAGCUCAUUAACCAAGACACUGUUUGUGGUGUCUCUGAAAGCAGUUUUCAGCUGUUUGGUAUUCCAUGGUAGUGUGGCUACAAGCUAGUUCAAAGACAGAUGGAGCAGUCUGUACAAAUUUCAGCACAAAAUACUUCCUUUCUCCAGAUGGAAAUGACCUUACCCAAACCAGUUUGACUCCAAACAGCAGUGUGAAAUACAUUUCUAGGGAAGCCACUGAAAUGGUAGAGCAGGUUUGAAACUGCCUUUGUACCAAGGAGAUGACCCAGUCUAAAUGGAGGCAGAGGGACAGCGACACAGCAAGCAGAAGACACGUCCUGUAUGGCAUGUCCUCUUGGUGGAGCACGGUCUGAGUGCCUGGAUCAAUUUCUGUCCUAAAUUUCCCUCCUGACUUAAACAAAGAAAGAAGGACAGAAAGAGAUUUAUUUUUGCCUGCACAUUCAUCAUCUGCAGGAGAGCUUGUAUCUAUCAGUGAAAGAAUUUCUGAAAUUGCUGUCAUUCAAGUUCAAGGUAAACACAUCAUUCCUUACCUGAAUAUUACUGAUUGUCGAGGUGAUCAGUUUUCUGGUUCGUUAGAAAGACCAAGUGUUAAAACAACAAUAAUUUUAAAUACAGUCAUCAAGAGAAAAGGUGAAACGGAAAAGAUUCUAGUGGGAACAUUAGAAGAAAACUGCAGAAAUCUUUAACACAAAUUGAAAAUGCCAGUGACCAAAGCCAGGAAUUCAAAGAACAAAUCUCACUAUGUUUCCAAUUUGGAAUUUAUUUACGCUGUAAAAAAGAACAACUAAAGAACACAUACAGAUGUUUCUAAACUAGACAAGUGGAUACUAACAAGAUGUUUGCAGCACAAGCUUCCUCUCUGACUGUAUUCAAACCCACCUUGACAUCACCACUGCCUUGUCUUCAUGCCAAGGCAUUACGCCAUGUGCUGCAUGGGGAUCCUUUGACUGUAUCCCUUUCUAUGAAUUUUUUCACCCACUGAGAUAAACAGAAUUCACAACGUGAAUUUCUGAUGGCUUGCCCACCACAGCAGAUUAGCUAUGAAGACACAGCAUACUACUACUGGAGCUGAAGCACAGUGCCUCUACACCCACAGCCACAGCUUCAUCUUAAAAGCAGUCAGCUACUUUUAAUGCCCCCACAGCUAUCAAUACAUAAUCUGACAGCUUUUACCCUUCUGAAGAAAUAAAAUCCAGUUAAAUCCUUCCUUUUGGAUAAUAACUCAUAUCACAGUGUGCACUCAUAAAAGUGGUGCUAUUUUAUUUAAAUAUUGUGCCUUAGUUAUUGUACAAGCAAUGUAAUUUUUAUUGCAUGUUUUAUUGUUACAUAGCAUUCCUUGCAAUAAAGGCAUCUUAGUCACUUUUUACUCUCCUGAAAAGGACUGCUUUCCUAUACAACUAGUGUGGCAAUAAGCAUACCUCACCAUGUCUUUUUCCUUAAUGUAAGAAAGCCCUUUUUAUGUUCCAACAGUAUUUUCUUAUUUAUAAAAAACCUGAAGAACUGGUCAGAGUCUAAGGCAUAAAGUUAGCAGCUCCCUGUCAUCAGACCUCAGCUCUCCCUUCCAUGAGGCCUAUAAGAAAGAAAUUCAUUUCCCGACUCUUUCACACUUGCCUUUCCUGGAAAGAAUAACAAUACAAGAAAACAUACCAAAGGAAUGAGGAUGGAUUCAGUGCAUUCAUUACUGUAUACAAACUGCAUAUUCUUUCUUAGACAUUACUUUAAAAAUUAAAUUUUAUAAAAUUUUCUUUUCAGCUACAAAUAAUUCAUCAUUAUGGCCGCCACGCUUCUGGUCCACCCAGAAUGAUGGCUUAGGGCUAGCGCAUUUGUAGAACUAACAGGAUUUUAGUAAGUAGUCUAAAGACCGGCAACCGUCCUGAGUCUGCUUGGAGGCAAUUUUACUGUCUUGACUGCUGGAUUAGCCAAAACCCUACCACCUUUCCUGGAUCGUCAGAAGCAAAUAGCUUCAAUAAAAAUCACCACAGAUGCAAUGCUAGACUUGAUAGACUAUCAUAAAUUACAUUAACUCUUUAUUACAUUUACAUAGAGCCCUCUACCCAAGUGGGGAAUUAUUUGAUUAAUCCUUUUCUACUGUAAACAACUAAAACACCAGCUCUCCUGAUUACUCUACCUGUACCAACAGAGUCAACUAGGCAACAGCUGUUCAAACAUUUGUUAAAUCACUUCACAGCAAAUAAGAACACGGUGCUGCAAGCCUGUUCCUCAUUGUAAUUUAACCAUAGCAAUACUUAACAUACACUAAAAACAUAUGCUGAAUGCCCAAAUAUUUAUAAAAACUAUUUCACCUUUAUUAACAACAUCUUAGAGGAUACUGGAAAGUUCAGUUGGUGAGAAGCAUCUAAGAAGUUGAGAAAGAUGAACAGAUUCAUUCAUCCUGAAACAUAAUUCCUAAGAACAUGCACACAGAAGUCAAAACAACGUGACCUUAUACUUUGAUGCCCAAAGUCUGGGCCUGAUUUUGUUUUUCUUUAUUUUUUAGAUAAUGUGGCAGAACAGAGGACUCUCUUGAGAGAGACACUGAGCAAGAAGGUGGUGAAAAGAAUGCCUAGUUCUAACAGGGGCAUGAAGUGACUUGCAGGAAAAAAGCAACUACAAAGCCAGGGAGCCCUUCUGGCUUCCCAAACGUGUCCUGAUGUAGAAUUUCUUAGUACUGCACCCUUUACGUUUAUACAAGCAAACAUGAAAAUCUUGUCUUAAUUACUGAGCUCUGAAUAAUGAAAGCUUUCUUCCCCUGCACUCCUUCCUUUCCUACAGGGACCUCAGCAAGAACUUUACUGAUGAGACAAGUAAACAGGUCACUGUCUUAACUUGCUGAUGCCUAUUUCUGUGCUCAUGCCCCAGGUGUUCUAGCCAUAGAAUACUUUCUGCAAUUUGUCAAGAGUAUGUACUCAGUAACAAAACCUUCUCAAAGCUGAGACUUCAAACACACAUGGUUCCUUCCAGAGACAGGUUUUUCAGAAUGGUUGCCCCUGGAGUCAUUAUCCCGUAGCAAAAUGUCAGGAACCACACUAAUGUUCUACACAAAGGUGAAGGCUGAAGAAUCCAGCAGCCUGCUUUCUUGCAAACCUGCCUUCUGCCUUGUUGACAAAGAUCUAAUGGAAGCCUGCUACCAACAUAAGGAAAAAGUAAAGAUGCCUUCACAAGGCAGGUGUGUUUCGAACACCCACUCAGUGCCUUUGGAGAGUCCAUCCCUACUCAUUUACCCCUUUAGAUACAUUUUGUCUUCUUCUUACUAUUAAUUUGUCUUUCACUAUCAAAUUACAGAAAUCUCCAAUUUUUUCCACUUUUCUGCUUUCCUCUCUGAGAAAAGCACAAUGCAUUGUAUUCACAGAUUUUAUAACAGAGUAAUAAAAGCCCUGUACAAGACUGUA